rnacentral:rRNA from 1 species
GACGAACGCUGGCGGCGUGCUUAACACAUGCAAGUCGAACGGUAAGGCCCUUCGGGGUACACGAGUGGCGAACGGGUGAGUAACACGUGGGUGAUCUGCCCUGCACUUCGGGAUAAGCCUGGGAAACUGGGUCUAAUACCGGAUAGGACCACUGCAUGCAUGGGUGGUGUGGGAAAGCUUUUGCGGUGUGGGAUGGGCCCGCGGCCUAUCAGCUUGUUGGUGGGGUGAUGGCCUACCAAGGCGACGACGGGUAGCCGGCCUGAGAGGGUGACCGGCCACACUGGGACUGAGAUGCGGCCCAGACUCCUACGGGAGGCAGCAGUGGGGAAUAUUGCACAAUGGGCGCGAGCCUGAUGCAGCGACGCCGCGUGAGGGAUGACGGCCUUCGGGUUGUAAACCUCUUUCAGCACCGACGAAGCGCAAGUGACGGUAGGUGCAGAAGAAGGACCGGCCAACUACGUGCCAGCCGCCGCGGUAA